rnacentral:ncRNA from 1 species
GGGAUUAUGACUGAACGCCUCUAAGUCAGAAUCCCGCCUGGAAAGCGACGAUGCAUUCGUGCCUCGGCCUCGAGAGGCGUAGCUAGACGGCCGUGUGGCCGUGGAAAGAGCCCGAUUCCGACCCCAGAGGCCGCGGCAAGAGGCGGCCUCGAAGUCGGUGGAUCCUCCUGCUCGAAAGGCGGGGUGCUAAACCAUUCGCAGACGACCUAGUUGAAGAUCGGGGUGUCGUGAUCACUAGAGCAGUACAUCUCACUGCGAUUUGUUGAGAGUAAGCCUCAAGAUCUGUCGGUUUGU